rnacentral:snRNA from 1 species
UUUGAUCCUUCGAUGUCG